rnacentral:rRNA from 1 species
GACGAACGCUGGCGGCGUGCUUAACACAUGCAAGUCGAACGGAAAGGCCCUGCUUUUGUGGGGUGCUCGAGUGGCGAACGGGUGAGUAACACGUGAGUAACCUGCCCUUGACUUUGGGAUAACUUCAGGAAACUGGGGCUAAUACCGGAUAGGAGCUCCUGCUGCAUGGUGGGGGUUGGAAAGUUUCGGCGGUUGGGGAUGGACUCGCGGCUUAUCAGCUUGUUGGUGGGGUAGUGGCUUACCAAGGCUUUGACGGGUAGCCGGCCUGAGAGGGUGACCGGCAACAUUGGGACUGAGAUACGGCCCAGACUCCUAGGGGAGGCAGAAGGGGGGAAUAUUGAAAAAGGGGCGGAAGCCUGAUGCAGCAACGCCGCGUGCGGGAUGACGGCCUUCGGGUUGUAAACCGCUUUCGCCUGGGACGAAGCGUGAGUGACGGUAAUGGGUAAAGAAGAACCGGCUAACUACGUG